GUGAUCGUCUGCUUUUGAUGAACGACCUUAGGUUUAAGUCAUUGUUGGAGAUAUUAGAUAAAAAAUCAACGAUGUCAAAGGUGCGGGUUUAGAAUUUCAAAAAGUAAUACAUGCCUGAUACGCUGCCAAUCACUUGAAGAUGGCCAAGAUCAUGUAAAGUUACGCCAGAAAGAGAGUGAUAGCAUAAAUGCUGCCAGCAAAGUUCGCAUGGACAAUAUUACUUCCCUUCCCGGACAGACAGUUCAUAUACAUUGUCGAUAAACAUUAUGGUAACUCAAUUCGAAUCAAGCUAUCCUUAAAUAAAAAGCCAACAGAGACUGUGUCAUCUCCAUCAUUAUGAUCUAACACUGAACAAUUUAACUUCAGUACAUAUUGUCUAUUUGUGCUCAACGUGCCAAAUGUAUUGGAAGAAAACGAGGCUAUAAUAUAUACCCUGUUAGAACAGUUAAAUUUAAAAAUUACAUAGAACAAAUAUUUAUUGAUAGGGAUGACAAAUGGGGUUCAGAUGUUAAAAACAGAUUGGAAACUAUACAUGACUUACCGGCUGCUGAUGCUAUAUACCCUCAGUCAUGCAGCGCAAAUUUUAGCACAGGUAAAAAUAUACCAAAGGCAGGCAAUGAAAAAGGAAAGAAGUUUGGAAAACCAGUGAACAUGGCACAGGAAUUUGCUUUCCAGGAAAUAGCAUAGUUCCUGAUUGAAAAUGAUGACGAACAAAUAACACCAAAAGACCUUGUUGACAAAAUGGCAGAACUAUGUGGAGAACUCUCCUAUACAUCAACUUAUAUGAAGAAGAGAUAACUAGAUCAUGUUGGGCCCUCUAUUGUCAUCACAGAAUUAAAUGGAAAGCAAAACGUAAUCACAUUUAGAAACACUGCAUCAUCAAUUCUUUAUUCAUUUUAAAAAAGUCUGGUAGCAAUUCCGAUGCUAAUAAAAUUGAAAUAGUAACAAGAGCAGCAAAACUAUUGCUUACUAAUAUAAAGGAUGUUAAAGCAACAAAAUUGUCUCACCCUGACUCUGCUGAUGUCUACACAGGAAAAUAUUGACUGCAUUCCGGAUAGGCUAAAAACAUUUCUUAGAGAAAUUUUCAGCGAGAAAAAAAAAUGCACAUGUGAAGAUUGCCUCUAUUGGAGAGGCCAUUAUCAAAGCAGCGAGACUAAAGGUGUUGAUUCCUCCUUUACAGAUUGGCUAAGAAGUACAAAUGCAUCAUCACUUUGCAUCAAAGUCUUUAAUUGAUAUGUUGAAUAAGCUAGGAUUUUGUAGUUCAUAUUCAGAUGUUUAACGGUUUUAGACAAGUGCAACAGUUUCACAAGGCAUUUAUUUGCCUUUUCUAAAAGAUGGCCAAUUUUGUCAGUUCGUAGCGGACAACGUGAAUCAUAAUAUACAAACACUAGAUGGCCACAAUACUUUUCACGGCAUGGGUAUAAUUGCUUGUUACACGCCCGAAACAAAAGUGUGUGGUGAAUGUCGGGAAAUAAGCUGUACCAAUGCACAAACUGUGGAAGAACAAGACUUAAUGGAAGACAGUUUAUAAGUUUGCUAAGGACAUGUUCACACCCAAGUUAACUUACAAUUGAAUUUAUUAUGAGAACAUAUAUUCAUCACAAUUAUUGAUGUUUUUCCCCAAAAUGCUUCAUUUAGCAUUACAUUGUUUUAUGGUGUAACCGUGACAUGCGUCAUUUGAUGUUACACCUAUAAUGCUGAAAGAAGAGGUUAAGCUCAAAUUAUAGAUAUGAUAUGAGCUCCACCUCGAGAAAAAAAAUAAUUAUAUGUGCAUGCAGUUUUGAGACGUACAGAUUAUCUUUGUAUUAUACUAGUAUGUAAAAUAUGGUAUAAUAGAAGUUUUUUUAUGUUAAGUGUUAACAUUAUAAUACUUAAGCAUUAUAAUACUUAAGUUACGCGUUAAUUUAAGCUAAUGACAAUGCAACCUUCUUAGUUUAAUUAUAUUUGAA